ACAGUUAAUACAAAGCAUCAUUAAAGCAUAUUUCUAAGAAAACUAGGUACUAAAUGCUCUGUGUAAUUCAGCAGAAAUGCACUAAUGCUCCAACUUCGGAUCCAGAUCCCAUUUAUCCUGUUGAGUGACGCUGUGGUAUACAGACCUGCCAACACUGACUGUGGGAUCACAGUUUUGGGGGUUUUCCCCUGUACCAGUUUUCCCUAAGAAUUUAUACAUCAAGACUUGAAAAAUACAUCUGCUCUGGGACCAACCCAUUGCAGUAUGUAAACAAGCUGGCUGGAAACAAGUCUGACCACAGGGUUAUUGGGAGCCCAGACCUUUGGCCAUUUCCCACACUGCAAGCAUCCACCCUCUCUGUGAGGCAGCUGCAGCCACGCUAUCAAUAGAGGGAUCAAGUAACCACACCAGGAGCAUUUCAACAACCCAUCAGUGUUGAUCUGAGCUUUCCUUCUGAAGAGAUUCAAAUCGGAACCAUCUUUCCACCUGAGAGGAAUGUCAAGCUCUGAUCCAGCCUUAUUUCAAUUCUUCGGUUCUGGAGACUGACAGCAAGCACUUCCCCUCCUUAAAGUGGGCACCAGUGAGCCUCUGACCCCAGUGGAGGGGCAAAGGGCAAUGCAUGUUUGCAGAUACAGGUCUCCUCCUCCAGCCCUGCUCUUUGUUAGGACCAUGUCUGCCAUGGCUUAUCUCCAGGAAAAAGGAGAGGAUAUUGAAGGAAAAGAGGGGAAGGGAAGCACAAAUUUCACCAGGCAUUGGCUCUGAAAGGGCAGAAAGCUGUAAACUAUCAUGCCAGGACCCUCAACCACACUUUCACUGUGUACUGAAGUGCAGGAAGGGUGGUGGUGGUGAGCAGGGCACUGCACACAAGGAUGGAAUGCCUGGGGGGUUGAAGGGAAGUGAUGUGAGGCACCUUCACCUCCUGAACAUGCAGGACCCAGGCUGUCAGCAGCACCUGCAGAGAAUGCCAUCAGAGAGUCAAGGGCAGUCCUUCCGAUGCCCUGGUUUUUAGCAGGAUUUAAAGGAUGAGAUCACUGUAGCUAUGUCAGAUGCAGGCUUGUAGUCGGAGCUAUUCCGUUGUGUUCACGAGGAACAAAACAUCUCCAUAGGACAAUCCUUUCCCUCCAAAGGCAUGUCUCUAAGGUGGGUGAGAUUAGCUGCUUCUGAAGAUCUCUAUCUCUGGAAUUCAGGUCUCCUGAACCCCAGCCAAGCUCUUGCCCCGGUGAGAGCUUUGACUGGUAAGGACUGGUUCCUAAAUUGGGACAGGGCCACAGGGUGGGGAAGAGAAAAACUGAUGAUUCUGCAAGGAGAAAAAGCAGUAGCUGGUGGGGAAG